AUCACUGAGAGCUGCUACCGCCG
rnacentral:piRNA from 1 species